ACACCUUUGGCCGAGAGGUUAAGGCAGUCGACUCAUAAUCGAUUCUAGGCAGGUUCAAUUCCUGUGAGGUGUA
rnacentral:tRNA from 1 species